UAUUAUGCGAAAAAUCAAUUCCAAAAAGGAAAUACAUCCCAUCAAAUAUAAUUAAGCCAAGCGAAAUACUGAUGGAUAGGGGAUUAAAAGUACCACAUUAGAUGUAUGGGUAUGAACUUUCUGUAGUGUUGGUUGAUUUCUAUUCUUGCUCAUUUCCCAAUGGAGUUCAUAUCGGUUCUUAAAGAGUUAGAGCUCGGCUAACUAUGUUUAUCAACAAAAUAGGGAGUUUUGAUGCAGCAACAUUGGAUUAUUAGACUGCUUCUAAUGAAACAAUUCCUCCUUUGGUUUCCAGUGUAAUGUCGCAAUCCAAAUCAAGGUUAAAUAUACUCAUUACUAUAUUCUUAAUAUUUACAGCUUUGCCUUUCCAGCUGCUAGUUCCUAAUGCACUCAUAUACGACAUAAUUGAAAAUGCCAAUUGUUUGAUUUUAUAAAUGAAGAGAAAUACAUUUCUGUGUCCAUUAGAGUAAUUUCUCAAUUGAAAUAUAUCACUAUUUUACUUGUUUAUUUAUUCAUUC